AUUGAACGCUGGCGGAAUGCUUUACACAUGCAAGUCGAACGGUAGAGGGGGCAACCCCUCGAGAGUGGCGAACGGGUGAGUAAUAUAUCGGAACGUGCCCAGUCGUGGGGGAUAACGUAGCGAAAGUUACGCUAAUACCGCAUACGAUCUAAGGAUGAAAGCGGGGGAUCGCAAGACAUCGCGCGAUUGGAGCGGCCGAUAUCAGAUUAGGUAGUUGGUGGGGUAAAGGCUCACCAAGCCAACGAUCUGUAGCUGGUCUGAGAGGACGACCAGCCAAACUGGAACUGAGACACGGUCCAGACUCCUACGGGAGGCAGCAGUGGGGAAUUUUGGACAAUGGACGCAAGUCUGAUCCAGCCAUUCCGCGUGCAGGAUGAAGGCCCUCGGGUUGUAAACUGCUUUUGUACGGAACGAAAAGGUCUCUCUUAAUACGGGGGACUCAUGACGGUACCGUAAGAAUAAGCACCGGCUAACUACGUGCCAGCCGCCGCAGUAA
rnacentral:rRNA from 1 species